GACGAACGCUGGCGGCGUGCCUAAUACAUGCAAGUUGAGCGCUGAAGGUUGGUACUUGUACCAACUGGAUGAGCAGCGAACGGGUGAGUAACGCGUGGGGAAUCUGCCUUUGAGCGGGGGACAACAUUUGGAAACGAAUGCUAAUACCGCAUAAAAACUUUAAACACAAGUUUUAAGUUUGAAAGAUGCAAUUGCAUCACUCAAAGAUGAUCCCGCGUUGUAUUAGCUAGUUGGUGAGGUAAAGGCUCACCAAGGCGAUGAUACAUAGCCGACCUGAGAGGGUGAUCGGCCACAUUGGGACUGAGACACGGCCCAAACUCCAACGGGAGGCAGCAGUAGGGAAUCUUCGGCAAUGGACGAAAGUCUGACCGAGCAACGCCGCGUGAGUGAAGAAGGUUUUCGGAUCGUAAAACUCUGUUGGUAGAGAAGAACGUUGGUGAGAGUGGAAAGCUCAUCAAGUGACGGUAACUACCCAGAAAGGGACGGCUAACUACGUG
rnacentral:rRNA from 1 species